GUUUUAGAAGCAACUAAAGAACAAAGAAAAUCAAGGUGUAAAAAAAUAUGGAGUGAUGAUGAAGAAUCAGACGAUGAAAGUCAGAAAAAAAAGAAAUCUAAAAAAAUGAUAUAAAAGGAAUGAACGCUAAAAGCAAAUCUUCAGAAUUAUGGAAAGAAUUGAAAACAAUGGAAAAUUCAUUUGCAGUAAAUUCUGAACAAUCUUCAGAUGAUGAUAGCUCUUCAAAAAUGUCGCAACAUUUAAUACAAGAGAAC